CCCGCGGCGGCGGCGGCGGUGACCGGGUCCCCGGCGCGCGUGCGCGGCCCAUGGCCCCAGCUGCUCGACCUGCCUGAUGAAAUCCUUCACCUGAAAUUCUGUCUUCGAUGGUGGACCAGCUGUGAGAGCGUUUGUUACACCCUACGCCGAUAAUCUUUCCUAAAGUUUACUCGUGGUUCCUUACAGAUCAAGAUGUAGGACUCUCAACUCCUUCUGUAGCACCAUGCCUAUCUGAAUGCCACCAUGUUCUGCCGUGAUGAUAAUGGACUAAACCUCUGAACUGUUUGCUGCCCACGUAAGUGCCUCGCUUGCCUCACCCUUGGCAUGUGGCUCAGCAUGCUACAGAACACAACUCUUUUGGGCUCACUUGCGCUCCAUUCUGCAGGAGGACCAAGAGAGGUGAUGAGCUUCCUCAUUCACGGACUAGCUGACAGUGCUUCAUCUCACUCUUUAGCAUAGUGGAGAACACUCUGCAGGUCUUCCGGAAAGCUCUACCAGGUUUUGUAAAAAGCUGUGUUUAAGGGGUCGCGUUUAACUGGUGUGGUCACCUGUGGUCACGUGAAACAGACCGGCUCUCUGCCUGAGAACAGAAGGGAUGGAAGGAAAUUGUGCCGCAGACUGCAAAGCUAAUUGUGGCCAGCAGAGGACGCCAGAACACAAAGGAUGGAGGCCAAUGAAGCGUCGCUCCCUCCAGUCACAGGACAAGUCUGAUACAGACUUGGCACCAGCGUAAACCGUGGAAAUUUCUUGAGUUCCACUAAGCUACCCCCGCCAUACGGCACAACAGACGCCACAAAGUGUCUGUCUCUCCGACACUUCAGACUAUUCCCUUUUCUUCUUUUUAAAGACGCCCAUGUUUCGGCUUUUUAAGUAGUAAUUUGACUUUAAUCCUUGAUCAGAGAUGCUCUUUUCUGCACUGGGAAGCAGUUCGUGCAGAGACUCAUAACUGGACAUGAGAAUGAGUGACUGCUGAGUAUCCACACCGCUGAGGCAUCCACACCUACCCCGCCAUGGUUCCGGUAAUAUCAUGGAAAGGUGGCAGGAAGGAUGUAAGAGCCAGUGGAUGGAAAGAAGGCUGUGAAUGCCUCCUUCUGGAUAUGACAUGGUUUACUCAUGACCUGCACAAGAUCAAGCCAAAAAGAUCAGGUGCUGUGCCAACAGACAAUAUUAAUGAGAAUCAGUGGGUUACAAAAAUAGAAACAUUUCCAAAGGAAGAGAAGACAUGAAGGUAGGAGAGGGAUGUGUUGGGGGUGUCUGGGAGGAUGGGAGGGCGAGUUGGAGGUAGAUAUGAUCAAGGUACAUUGCAUGUAUGAAUGAAAUUGUCAAAGAAUAAAUAGUAGAUGCUUAAGAAUAAAUAAAAAUAAAAAAGUAGGCUCCUCACAAGAAGAUCCCCCCCAAAAAACAGAAGGGAUCGAUAGAAAAUUAAACAACAACAACAAAAAAAAACAUGAAAACACAAGGCAACGUGACUCUCCCCCAAAACCGUCUCAUCAACAACUUCAGUUGAAAGCUAUCGAAAUACAUAAAAUGCCAAGUUCUUCAAAGGUUCACCAGUAUAAAUUCUCAGAGUCCCCCACGAUGGAAAGCAAGCCUGUGAGUUCAACCCAGGACCUCACCGGAAAGCCAGCAGCCCAGAAGGGAAGUUGGAAAAGAGACCAGCAGCAUGACUUACAAAGUCAGCAAGGAAAUGCAGUCAGAGGAGAAAUGCAGGGAAGAAGCCAGGGCUGCAGGAAAACAGGAAGCUGGGCUUGGACACUGGGCAAGGGGAUGGAUCGGAUUUCAAACCAUGGAAGUCAUCAGCGAGAACAAGCUGAAGAAAGAAUACCAGGAAACCUGGAAGAGAGGCAGCUCUGAAAAUUCUAAGAGAAAACUGCUGACUCACCUGUGCCUCAGAAUAACUUCCGGCCCCUGACGAGAAAACUCGAGAUAAUAAUGGAAAGCCUUGUAAGUAACAGCCAACCACAAUUGCUAUGUUCAGAGAAGUUAUCUUGGAAAAUCAAUGAGAUCACUGGGAUAUUUAUAACUUAGCAGAACUGGUAGCUCAUCACCACGAGUCAAGGACUUGGAAGAUACUUUAAGGAACACUAUACACAGAGGAAGGACAAGUCUCGUAGGAAUGAAUACAUUCAUUUAAAGGAAUAGAAAUAGAAAUAGAAAUAGAAAUUAGAAUAGAAUAGAAUAGAAUAGAAUAGAAUAGAAUAGAAUAGAAUAGAAUAGAAUAGAAUAGAAUAGAAUAGAAUAGAAUAGAAUAGGAGGACUGAUAAGAAUUCAUAAUGCCCACCAUAAUGAACAGCAAAUGGCUAAUGCUGAUAAAGAGAAAAAAGGAGCCAGGCUGUGGUGGUCCAUGCCAUUAAUCCCAGCACUCAGGAGGCAGAGGCAGGUGGAUCUCUGAGUUCGAGGCCAGCCUGGUCUACAGAGUGAGUUCCAGGACAGCCAGGGCUACACAGAGAGACCCUGUCUUUGUGGGAGGAGGGUGGAGAAUGACAUACAUAGAGCAGCACACCUCUCCCAGUCACAACCUUAAGUGAAAAUGUCCUCAACUCACCAACUAUGCAGGCCUAGACUGGAUAUAAGAUCCGGCCAUCUAUUGUCUCCAAGGUCCACCAGUCAUUGGCAAGAACACAUACAGACCGAGAGUCUAAGGAUGGAAGUCCAACCACCUAGUGAAUAAACAAUGAAAAUAAGUUGUCAUAGCUAGUCCGGGACCUCAUAAAGCAGACUUGAAAAUAAAUCCAGAAGAGGUAAUGAAGGUCACUGAAUGUGAAUCAAGAAAAAUAUAAACUCUUAAAUCUAUGUGAACCUGGGCUGGGGGGGUGGCUCACCUGUUAAGGGACUUGCACCUUCAGUAAGAGGACCAGAGAUCCUCAGCUCCUAUAGAAAUCCUGGAUGGGCCUGGAAGGCUGACUGCAAUUCCAGUCUGGGAAGGAGGAGAUGGGGGACCCCUAGAGUAAGCUGGCUGGUGAGAUAGCCAGUUUUGAUGUGAUCUAGAUUUGAUUGAGAGAUCCAGCCUCAAAGAAUAAGAUGGAAGAGCAACUGAGGUACAAUCCUAUCAUCACUCUCAGAUACACACACACACACACACACACACACACACACAUUCACACACAUGCAUGUACUCAAGUUUGCCCACACACAUAGGAUGGUGCACAUACACACGAACAUAAAACGAGCAUGAGACACAACUAACAUGUCUGCUUUGGUGGUCUGAAUAAGAAUGGCCCCCAUAGGCUCAUAUAUUUGUGUCCUUAGUCACCAAGGGGUGGAGCUCUUUGAUAGGAUUAGAAGGGCCUGCUCUCCAGGGUGCUUCAGCUGGUGAGGGACAGGGCCAGCUCUCCUUCCUGCUGUAGGUGGAGGGGUGGAGGGGAAAGGGCAUCUUUCCCUCACCCAUGCCAUGACUCAUAUAUGGCAGAUGAAGGGGGUCAAGGCCAGCUCUCCAGCUCUCAUGCCCUCAGGGCCAGCUCGCCUGAGCCCCCGUGGGGUCAACUCUACUCUGUUGCCUAGGCAAGGUGCAGGGCAUUUAGGAGAGCAGACCCUGUACCUUGCCUGAGCAGCACAGUAGUAGAGCAGACCUGUUGAUAGGGGCACUGGUGAGCCAGGCCAAGAAUGCGAGCAUGGGGCAUGGGGCCCCUCCCCUCAUCUGCCAUGCACUGGUGUGCGUGAGGGAGAGAUGCCCCCCUCACCCCUUGCCCUUUACCCCUCAUCCCUUGCCAUCUGCAGCAGGUGGGAGAGCUGGUCUCAGGGGUAUACGAAUGGGAGAGCUGGUCCUGCCCUCACCAGCUGCAGCACUUGGGAGAGCAGGACCUGCACCUCGCCCAGGCAACACAGUGGAGCUGGCCCUGGUAGUGUGGAUGUGGGUGAGCCACCCCAAGGUCCUGAGAGCAGGAUAAUUGGCCCUGCCCCUUGCUGCCUGCGGCAUUGGUUGAGUUAGCUGGGGGUGGGAGUGCUGGAGAGCUCACCCUGGUGGUGAGGAUGAGGGAGGGCUGGCGGGUUGACCAACCCAGCUGCCACCCAGGCCCAGACCCAGGGCUGUGAGUUGGCCCACCCCAACAUCUACCCCAUCUGUGAACUGUUGGAGCCUAUGAAGGGGCCCAUCCUACAGAUCCAAAGCUGCAGGAUCUCCAUGACACAGGGCAACAACAGGAUAUCCAAGAGGAGUCCCA